AUUUUGUUUUGGCCAAAAUUUUUAUGCUGGAUCUUUAUGCUUGCCAUAUUUAAUGUCUUGUUUGACCUUAGAUUGAAUGAGUAGGAGAGGAGGAAAAUAUUUCUAUUUUAUUUUUUCAGUGUUAGAUGUGAUGCAUUGCUAAUACCUGUAAUGUUCUGUUAAUUGGUUUAGAUUUUAUAUAAAAGCCGAUGUGACAGUCGACUAAAUGAGGUAACAGAGAGAGUGGCUGCUGAUAAACGCGAGGUUGAGGCAUUAGCCAAGAAAUAUGAGGAGAAAUACAAGCAGACUGGGGAUGUAGCCUCUAAAUUAACAAUUGAAGAGGCCACGUUUCGUGAUAUUCAGGAGAAGAAAAUGGAAUUAUAUCGGGCAAUUGUUAAAAUGGAACAAGAAAGCACUACUGAUGAUACUUUCAAGGAGAGAUCUGAGAAUAUACAGUCCCGUCUUGAAGAACUUGUAAAAAGUGUCAAUGAACGCUGUAAACAAUAUGGAUUGCGUGCUAAGCCAAUCUUACUGGUUGAGCUUCCCUUUGGCUGGCAACCUGGAAUUCAAGAAGGAGCAGCUGUGUGGGAUGAAGAGUGGGAUAAGUUCGAAGAUGAAGGAUUUGCCAAUGACCUCACCAUUGAUGUGAAAAAUGCUUCUGCCAUGCAAAAGGAAAAAGCGUCACAAGAUGGUAGUCUAACCCCUGAUUCUUUAUCAAAUGGUGAUGGCAAGUCUGGGAACUUUUUUAGUACUGGUGAACAUGCCCUUGAGGGUGAAUCUGCAUGCUUCCACAGUGAAGAUGAAUCGGCAAGAAGUCCUCAAGGCAGUUCAGCUAGAAGAAAUGGCCUAGAUAGUCCAUCUUCUGAUGUUUUUGCAAAGAGUAUUGAUCCAGAUGCAGAAACACAUCUGUAUGCUGUCUAUCCAUUUCUGUGUUUUAUUUAUUCAGUUGUGGAUCUAUUGCCCAAAAUUGUGGUAGUGACAAUUAUUUUUUUUUAAUAAUUUCUGGCAAUAGAAGUUUUGAUGAAUCAACUUGGGGUGCUUUUGACACUCACGAUGAUACAGACUCAGUCUGGGGAUUUAACCCUAGUACUAAGGUGAGCCUUAUCUAUCCUUCUGAAAUUUAAAUGUGGGUAAACAUUGAAAGCCUAAAUCUGUUGCUUUGUUUAGGUGUUUAACAUGAAAUUAGUUUAUCAAUUUAUAGUUAAUAUGCCAUUAAUGACAUAGAGGAAGACAACUGGGACAGCUUUGACAAAUUUAGGCAUGUCCGUGUCCUCUUAUGUAAACGUCAGGGGGAUUUGACUAAUGACUACUGGACCUUCCUUUGCACUAGACAUGCAUACCCUAGCUCUUUUUGCUUUCUAGGUUUCUAGAUCUUACAGAAGUGGACACUCAAGCUGUGCAUGGAUGUUGCUACUUUUCUAACCUUUGAUUCCACCGUUCACAUGCAUAUCUCUGUGCACUCGUAGAAUUUUAUGAUAUCCAGAAAUUUAUCCUUUGUUGAGAUUGUGUUAUUGUAUUGGAAGAAACUUCUUGAGCUGCAAGGGUGAUAGUUGCCUGACAUUGGAGUUGAUUAAUACUUUUGGUAGGCAUUCUCAUUAAUGCUCUUGUUUUUAGAUUUUCAAGUGCUGCUGCUGAUUUUUUGUUGUAUAGGCAUGUGGCAUUUGGUAAAUGACUUAUAAUAAUUAUUUAUAUAAAUUGUAUUUUCUGGCAGGAUUCAGAAUUUGGAACUGGUGAUUUUGGUGUAAAGCCAAUAAGAACGGAAUCUCCAUCCUCAGAGAUUUUUG
rnacentral:misc_RNA from 1 species